AGAGUUUGAUCCUGGCUCAGGACGAACGCUGGCGGCGUGCUUAACACAUGCAAGUCAUGGGGGUCCGCAAGGACAACCGGCGAACGGGUGCGUAACACGUGAGCGACCUGCCUGAGUGCGGGGGAUAGCCGGCCCAACGGCCGGGUAAUACCGCAUACGCCUUUUCGAGGGCAUCCUUGGGAAAGGAAACCUCCGGGGCACUCAGAGGGGCUCGCGGCCUAUCAGCUAGUUGGCGGGGUAAUGGCCCACCAAGGCGACGACGGGUAGCUGGUCUGAGAGGAUGGCCAGCCACAUUGGGACUGAGAGACGGCCCAGACUCCUACGGGAGGCAGCAGUGGGGAAUCUUGCGCAAUGGCCGAAAGGCUGACGCAGCGACGCCGCGUGUGGGAGGAAGCUCUUCGGGGUGUAAACCACUGUUGCCCGGGACGAACGAUGAGUUUUUACUCAUGUGACGGUACCGGGUGAGGAAGCACCGGCUAACUCUGUGCCAGCAGCCGCGGUAAUACAGAGGGUGCGAGCGUUGUCCGGAAUCACUGGGCGUAAAGGGCGCGUAGGCGGCUUGAUAAGGUUGCGGUGAAAGCCCGGGGCUCAACCCCGGGUCGGCCGUGGCAACUGUCGAGCUGGAGCACUGUAGAGGCAGGUGGAAUUCCGGGUGUAGCGGUGGAAUGCGUAGAGAUCCGGAAGAACACCGGUGGCGAAGGCGGCCUGCUGGGCAGUGGCUGACGCUGAGGCGCGACAGCGUGGGGAGCAAACAGGAUUAGAUACCCUGGUAGUCCACGCCGUAAACGAUGGGCACUAGGUGCUUGGGGGAGCGACCCUCCGAGUGCCGGCGCUAACGCAUUAAGUGCCCCGCCUGGGGAGUACGGCCGCAAGGCUCAAACUCAGAGGAAUUGACGGGGGCCCGCACAA
rnacentral:rRNA from 1 species